AGCAGCCGCGGUAAUUCCAGCUCCAAUAGUGUAUAUUAAAGUUGCUGCGGUUAAAAAGCUCGUAGUUGGAUUUCGGGGGUUUCAGGCCAAAGCUCGUCCUUGUGGCGUGGCUGGGUCUGGGCUUCCUAUGUUUGGGUAGUGGGCAACCGCUCCCAAUCUUUUACUUUGAAAAAAU
rnacentral:rRNA from 1 species